AGGAUAAACGCUGGCGGCGUGCCUAACACAUGCAAGUCGAACGCGCUUACUAUCCGCGAGGAGGGUGAGCGAGUGGCGGACGGGUGAGGAACACGUGGGUGACCUACCUUUCAGUGAGGGAUACCGGCGAGAAAUUGCCGACAAGACCGCAUACGCUUCUCUUUUCAAGGGGGAGAAGGAAAGCUUUUCGCAAGAGAGGCGCUGGGAGAUGGGCCUGCGGCCGAUUAGCUAGCUGGUGGGGUAAUGGCCUACCAGGGCGACGAUCGGUAGCUGGUCUGAGAGGACGAUCAGCCACACUGGGAUUGAGAACGGCCCAGACUCCUACGGGGGGCAGGCAGUGAGGAAUUUUCGGCAAUGGGGGCAACCCUGACCGAGCAACGCCGCGUGCAGGACGACGGCCUUCGGGUUGUAAACUGCUUUUCUCUGGGACGAGCAAGGACGGUACCAGAGGAAGAAGCCCGGCUAACUACGCGCCAGCAGCCGC
rnacentral:rRNA from 1 species